AACCCCUGGUGAUACAUUUCAAUAAUGCUGUAAGACAAAUUCGAUGAAGGGCUACAUAUGGGUAAUUAACCAUAAUAAGUGAUGGGACUGCAUAACAAACAUAUGUUGAGACUUGUCUUUCCAAAUGGUAAAACACUGAAGCUUAGCUCUGUCUGACUCUGAAGUGCUGCUUUGAGACGUGGGAAUCUCUCGCCUUACUUCAUUACACAGCGAAAAACGCACGACAACCAUUUUUAUCCAUUUUGCUGGCCAACAGGUGAAACAUGGUUAUCGAGUCAGGAAGACUUCAAAAUGUACUGAUUUUCGUUUGAUUAAGAAUAAACGUUUCUACAGAAGGGAAAUUAAGAGUCUGGCUGAGAAGUAAUUGCUGAUAAUACUGAUGCACACCUCAGCAGCUGCAGGAAGAAGCUCUGAAGUUCUCCUUCCUCCUCCACCUCACCUCACCUCACAGAUCUAAUUGCUGUAGCCAGGGGCUCUGCGACCAAAUAUGUUGUUUUGUUUUGUGCCCAGCCUUUAAUUAUCUCUCCUGAAUGCAAAACUAAACCUAAUCUGGACUAAUGAGAAGUCAAAAUGUGAGCUAAAUAGAACUACGGGUGGGAAAAAAAUAACCCCUGUGGUGCUGCAUAGAGUUGGCCCCCCUCGAGAUUAAACAGCAGGCUCCAGUCAGGACAAUUCUCAGCAACUUUCACACCACAGUUAAUAUCUCUUUGCCUGUUUGUGCAGUGGAGCUCGUGUCAUACACAUUUUCACUAAGUUUGAAAUGAUCAUGGAAGAAAAAUGAGAGCAAGAACUGUUUUUGAACUGCAGAAAAUGUUUAACCAGUUAGAGGAACCCUCCACAGUUAAGAGAGUCUGGCACGCA
ensembl:lncRNA